UGCAGGAAUCCAACGGAUGACCUAAGAAUGCCAAUUGAGUUUCUUAAUUUUUCUUAAUCAAAAUAAAAAAGUAAUGUUACUGGAAUAAAGAAAGAAAUCUAUAAACUGAGCCGGGAUGCUUGAUUCUGGCAUUAGGAACUCUGAAGGCUCUCUGAUUUAUAUUAAAAGAGUGUCUUCUCUCCAUCCAGUCAGACGUCAUUCUAUAAAUGCUGAGCAAGAGGCAAGGUUACCACCCUUGGCAUCUUGACAUCAAAAGAAAUGUUUGCAUUAGCAGGACCUGGCAAACCAAAGGUCCCCGAAGACCACGGACAGUUGCCAGCACCGGCUUUUAGAAUCGGCUGGCUGGUUUUACUGCCAGUUAAUAGCAUUUAUAUUUGUGCUUUUGCAAAUAGCCAUGAGAAAUCAAUCGUCAGACGUGGACACUGUGAGAAACUACUAACAGGGCCCUGAAAAGCAGGCUUUCGGGUAAUGACCAAAGGAGAGGACUGGAAGGAGGAUUUGACUGGCUGCAUCCUGUUCCGCGAGAAGGGAAUCACAUUUGGACCAGCACUCAGAGCCUCUAAGGGAGAAUUGCAUUAGUCAACUCUGGUCGGCCUGGAUCUGAUGAGUCAUCUGACCUGCUGCCCUGGUGACUGUGUAGACUCUUCCUGAUGAUGGACCUCCAACUGGUCUUGGAAGGGAGCUUCAUGGAGAGCUGAUUAGCUACGGAGGACUCUAGUCUGGAAUUAUGUCCUCCAGAAUCCCUUGGCAUCAGAGCUCUGCUUUGCAGUUUCCCAAUGAAAGAAACUCAAGCAACGAAAGGAAGAAGACAAUAGAAGUUCUUGCUCCCACGGGAGCAGCAUCAAGCAUGCAGGCUUUGAUCAAUGGCAGAUGUGGGAUCACCAUAAUAACUUCUACGUACCCUCCUGCAACUUGCAUCUUUUGCUGUUGAAGGAAGCUGAGAUCAUCAGCCAUCAUUUUACAGUUCUAGACUUCUUGGAAUCUUAUGGUAUCUUUCCUUGGCCUUUGCUUCCUCGGUCCUUCUGAUAGUUUUAACAGUGUCUGGUAUAGAUCCCUACUUUGAAAACCCUUGAGUGGUGCCUGUUUCUCUGAGGAUGGAUUGCCAUGUCCUCCUAGAGUGAUAUCUGAGAACUUUUCAAGGUAUGUAGUUUAAAAUCUGACCUGCUGGAGACCUCUCUCAGAUUACUGAGCAGUGGGGACAUGCCUUGUCCCUCAAUGACAGUUGAGGACCGCAGAACAACAUGUGACUAUUAUAAUACGCUCAAGUGAGAGUCGGGAUGAGGUUUCUCUGUAAGAGCUCACAAUCUUCAGGGGUCAAUACACACGAGGUUAGGUUACAGUAGAAUAAAUAAAUGAUGUCGCUCUUAGGUUGCCAUGGAAACUGCAAAGACAGGACUAUAUAUCAGUCUUUCGUUCAAAACCUUCUCGGGCUCCCUGUUGCAUGAUGGAUUAAAUAUCAACACCUCAACUAGUAUUCAAGACGCCUGCGUUAGAGUCACUAGAAAGCAGCACCCAUGCUGACAAAGGCUUUCAUUGCCCCACCCUUGUUUCUGUGCCUGGCCUCUGACAAGUUUUAAUACCUAUUAGCAAGCGAAUGAGCGUCUGCCUCUACACUGCCGUGAAGCUAGCUGCUUACCCAUUCUCGCUGUCUAUCCUUGGCUUUCGCUGUACAUUUGUUCACACGGCCUCUCUUUGUAGCCACUUUCCCUCUCAUUUCUUUCUUUGAAUAUCCUAUUGUUUAGGGCCUAAUCUCAUGAACUACUCUCAAUCAGUUCCAGGCUUCCACUCUUUCCUGGGUGGGCUCUCUCCUUGCUUUGGGCUCCUAAGCCUGCUCUAAGAAAAGUUAAUAACCUUAUUUCAGGAAACUGGCUUUAGGUUAACAGUGAAGUCGAAUGGUUAGUCAAGAGAGGUCCCUGCAUUCUCCUGUCUUCCCCUCCAUUUCCUCUGAGUCUUUAAUGCCAGAUAGCAUAUAGAGGAGAAACAAAGGAGACAAGAACCCAAUAGGUUAUCCCUGUGGGUGUGGCCUAUCCAGACAGUAGCCAUUAUCCUUUGUACCCUGUCUUCCCCUUCCUUUUCAUUGCCUUCCUUUUCUCUCCUUUCUCUUCUUUCCUGGCAUCAAGGACACACAAGGAACUGUUCAACAUCACAGCUUGGUUGCUGUUAUUUAAAGAUUUAUUUUUUUAUAUGAGGGCUGUAUCUGCAUGUAUGCCCAAAAGACAGAAGAGGGCAUCAGAUCUCAUUAUAGAUGAUUUGUGAGCUGCUAUGUGGGUGCUGGGAAUUGAACUCAGGACCUCUGGAAGAGUAACCGGUGCUCUUAAUUGCUGAGCCACCUCUCCAGCCCAGCUUUUGUUGUUUUUUAAGCAAUGGAAUCUUGCUCCAUUUCCCAGGCAGACCUCCCAUUCCUAGAUGCAAUUCAAGAAGCUCCACAAUAGACAGAGAUGGCAGAAAAAGUUCUCCAAGGUCUUGCAAAAGAGAGGGCACUGGCCAUGAGGAGUCUUGGGAUUCACCAGGUACCCUGCUGGGAGAAGGCGAGGGAUCAGGUUAGGGCAGAAAGCUAGGUCUAGAUGCAACUGAAGCCAGCCAUGUGGCUAAGGGCAGCCAGAGCUGAUGUUAGGAUGCUGCAGGGACCUUCCCUAGGUCAGCAUAUGAAGGCAAUAGGAUCCCGUCAAGCCCAGGAACCUCUGUGAACUUUAGAGUCUGCCUGUUUGGGAUGGGAGGGGGCACUAGGACCCAGUUUUCUCAUUCCUGGUGCUUUGCUUUUAAAGACAGUUCUCUGGUCUUUCUAUUUUUUGUGUUUAUUUUAAUGCAGCUGAAUCCUGAAAUGUAAGAGAGCAAGGCAAGGCUGUUCCGAUUGAAAUGGGUGUGGAAGCCAGAACCCCCUGUUCACCUCCCAAGGUUUCCCCCAAACGCGUAUCUUCUCAGAACACAGCUCAUGAACACAGCACUGAGAUGUGCAGUCUCCUAGCCAUACCUUGAAUUUGUUACUAUAAAUAAAACAGGAUGUUACCAUGGCAACCUUACAGUCUGUUGAAAUUGCCCCUUAUGGACCAAAUUAGCCUGGAUCGAUAGUGCUUCCUGAAUGCGAAAUUACUUUCCUUUUGAAAAAAAAAGUUUGAACAAAUUAUAGAACAAAGCAUUGGGGGAAAUGAGGUCUGAGUCGAUGCAAUAACAGUGUUAGCUGCAGCUCUCGGCAACGCCCACACAUCGUGUCCUUAGUGACACGUGUCGCCAAGCUGGUGCUCUCCAGGCCAGCACUUUAUUCACUGUUCACUUCCAUGGCCUCUUCCCCCAGGCAAGCAUUUCCCGCUGCUCUGCACGCGUCAGGAGAAAGGACACUUCUGUCUUUAACAUCUUGCUUCCUCAGACUCAGCUGUCCAGCGAGGAGACGCUGUCUUCAGAGAUGGACAGGUUUUAAAUGGCACUCCCCAAGCGGGCUGGCAGGGCGGACCUCGGAGCAGAUGUGGGCCCAGACCUCACUCCAGGGAGGGGUUUGUCCCAGCGAAGCCAUUAGUUAGCCCUGGAGCCUGGGAUCUUCUGCAAUUGUUCCUAGGAAUUCUUACCGCAGGCCAGAGCUAAGGAAGCUGGAGGUGGGAGGAAGGAGUGACGAGCUUGGCUGCAUUUUGGGGUUCAUAUCUGAGUGUGUACACAAAGCCCCGAAUCUUGAACAGUCUUCCAAUUGACCUGGUGCCGCAACUCUAUGUCUUUUAUCUAAAAUGCAGGGUGUGUUGGUGUUAGGAACUGAACUUGGAUCCUCUUGAAGAGCACCUGGUGUUCUUAACUACUGAGCCAUCUCUCCAGCACCAAAGUUGGUUGGUUUGUUUAUACAGAGUCUAGGAUUUGCUAUGCAGUCAAGGAUGACUGUGAAUUCCUGAUCUCCACCUCCUAGUGCUGGGAUUACAGGUGUGUGCUACCAUGCCCAGUUCUCCUCACCAAUACUUCCUGUUGCUUCUUCUGAUGCAAAUGUCUCCCUCAUUUCACAUGCAGUUAAUAAGAGAGAGGUUCCAGAACGUUCCUUCCAGGUCAGAACUCUCCUUUGGAAAUGUUAACCUGAGGAAUCCUUUCGCAAAUAGUGUUUUAUUGGGGUGUGGUAGAAGGGUUCUCAACCAGGAACCAAGGUAUUUGUAUACAUGGCUCAAAUCUACCCUCAUGAGUUCAGAGCCUUGCAGGAAUUGAUCAAAAACUCAGGUUCACCACAGCUAAUCUGCUGGGUGCAUUUACUUGACUUGGCAAAGUACCUUCUGAUUUUUAACUCGGGGGGAAGCAGACUGUAGCUCCUUUGAGUUUGGAGGCUGCUGUUUCUCCCCGUAGCACCUUGAUUUCCAGGUUCUCAGUUCUUGAUGAUUUCAAUCUGUCAGGAUUCUGAAACAAAGCAUCGUAAUUAUAGACAUUCCCUUCAGUGUUGUGUGAUAAGAACUGGAUGGAAGUGGUAUGUUAUUUUGGGAGCGAGGAUUGCACUCCACAGAGAGGCAGAUGACAAAGCUGUCAUGAGAGGGAAUACAUAGCAGAGAGGAAGUAGCACCCCACAGAGCGGGGAAGCAAGGCUGGAAGGAGAGGGUUGCUGUGCUGGGAUUGUUUCCCGCUUUGCCUCAUCUGACAACAGACCAAACGCUAAUGAGCUUUGUCUAGAUCAGCUGGUGCCUGUGGUAACUGAAAGCUUGCCCCUUCUGAGGGGUGCUGGCGGCUUGAGUGUGGCGUGGUGAGCGUGGCUCUGGCAGCCCUUGCUAAAGCAUUAGAUUAUAUUCCUGAAGAUAGCCACCAGGGUCCCUUAUUUGGCUGCUUCCUCCUUCUGAGGCUUGACUACCAAGGUCCAGUUACUGAAGUCCAGCAGUCAAACAAGCUCCCUUUGGUUCACCUACUUAAUAUGCCCAAUCAAAAUAUACCACUGCAUCGUAGUCCCUUCUAACACAGACCCCCCCCCUUUUAUCCUUUUAAAAACGACACCUGCAACGUCAUUUGCUGCUGUUUUCUGCCUGAGUUAGAAAGCAGCCACUUUAACUUUUCUUCCUCAUUAAUAAAUGAUCUCUCUGCGAAAA